rnacentral:RNase_P_RNA from 1 species
ACAGCAAUUCGUUCUGUCGCUGUAUUGCAUUUGCAAUACAGAGGAAAGUCCGGACAACACAGAGCACCAUACUUCCUAACGGGAAGGGCUUGUGUAAACAAGUACAGAUAGUGCCGCAGAAAAUUACCGCCUUGAAAAAGGUAAGGGUGAAAACGUGAGGUAAGAGCUCACGCAGUAAGCAGGCAACUGUUUAUUGGGGUAAACCUUAUGGGUUGAAAGACCAUGUAAACCGAGGCUUGAGGGCUGCUCGUCCAAUCUCGGAGGGUAGGUUGCUUGAGGUGUUUAGUGAUAAACAUCCCAGAUAAAUGACAGAAGUUUUGAGUAAUCAAAAUACAGAAUCCGGCUUAUAGAAUUGCUGUUUUU